GCGCUCUUAGUUCAGUCCGGUAGAACGCGGGUCUCCAAAACCCGAUGUCGUAGGUUCAAAUCCUACAGAGCGUG
rnacentral:tRNA from 1 species